UACGGGGGAGCAAGCGUUGUUCGGAUUUACUGGGCGUAAAGGGCGCGUAGGCGGCCACCGCAAGUCGACUGUGAAAUCUCCGGCUUAACCCGGAAAGGUCAGCCGAUACUGCGGGGCUAGAGUGCAGAAGGGGCAACUGGAAUUCUCGGUGUAGCGGUGAAAUGCGUAGAUAUCGAGAGGAACACCUGCGGCGAAGGCGGGUGCUGGGCUGACACUGACGCUGAGGCGCGAAAGCUAGGGGAGCGAACGGG
rnacentral:rRNA from 1 species